rnacentral:lncRNA from 12 species
GUUGACGCACGUCUCGCUGUGCGCGCGCACGCACGUACACACAUAGCGUCUCCUGUAGCUUUAAACAGCGCUCGCUCACUCGCUCGCUCAGUCAGGGAGGGCAAGAGAGAGAGAGAGAGCGGGAGGAGGAGGAGGAGUGUGAACGUUGCGGAGUUCUCGGGGAUUCCGAGAAUAUACAGUUCAGACUCAGACUCGACAGUGACCGACGAGUUUUUGGACUCUACUUCCAUUUGGCGCCGCUCAAGCUCGGAUAGCGGAAUCAGGUGCCGCCUCCUCCAGCCGGGCUGCUGAAGAAUGGCAGAGGAUUACAGAUGAGGACAUGGUGACCCUCUCUACCUUCCUUUGGAGAAGGGG